UACAGAGGGUGCAAGCGUUAAUCGGAAUUACUGGGCGUAAAGCGUGCGUAGACGGUUAUGUAAGUCGGGUGUGAAAGCCCCGGGCUCAACCUGGGAAUUGCAUUCGAGACUGCAUAGCUAGGAUGCGGAAGAGGGAAGCGGAAUUUCCGGUGUAGCGGUGAAAUGCGUAGAUAUCGGGAGGAACACCUGAGGCGAAGGCGGGCUACUGGGCCGAUACUGACGCUGAUGCGCGAAAGCCAGGGGAGCGAACGGG
rnacentral:rRNA from 1 species